CAACUUUGUCCCCUUCCGGCCGUAUGAGGCGAGCAGAGUCUUCUACCAGAAUGUGACUCGGGUGAAGGUCACUUGCAUUUACUGCAGCUGCGAACUGCUCACUUACGAUGUUCUGGAGGCCCAUAAUGCAGGCAGGAAGCACAAGAAACAAUUUGAAGGAGUGCAGAUAAAUAAUCUAGAACAACCAGGUUCUCACAGAACCGGUAAACCCCAGGAAAUAGUCAAUGAGUCACAUGUUACAAAUCGUGACCCAUCGGCAUCAGGUUGUGAACCACCUGUAGUACAACUUAAACGUCCUGUAGAAGCUUUUGAGCCACCUGUAGUCAGCCAUAAGGUAACAGCAGUACAGGAUAAGAUUUCUGGUGCCAGUUUUCACAAGACACCUGUUGCCUGCAGGAAAGCACCUGCCACAACAGCAGUACAGAGACCAGCCAAAAAACAGAAAUCAACUCAACUGCAGAAGUAAAAGGAUCGAUGGCAGCUGAGCUUUUACACAUGGUAUGGAACCAGUUGGCUAAAACAGGAAGUGUUCUGGUGAAUGUGAUGAAAGAAGAAGAGAAAGAUAG